rnacentral:rRNA from 1 species
ACGCUGGCGGCGUGCCUAAUACAUGCAAGUAGAACGCUGAAGAGAGGAGCUUGCUCUUCUUGGAUGAGUUGCGAACGGGUGAGUAACGCGUAGGGAACCUGCCUUGUAGCGGGGGAUAACUAUUGGAAACGAUAGCUAAUACCGCAUAACAAUGGAUGACCCAUGUCAUUUAUUUGAAAGGGGCAAAUGCUCCACUACAAGAUGGACCUGCGUUGUAUUAGCUAGUAGGUGAGGUAACGGCUCACCUAGGCGACGAUACAUAGCCGACCUGAGAGGGUGAUCGGCCACACUGGGACUGAGACACGGCCCAGACUCCUACGGGAGGCAGCAGUAGGGAAUCUUCGGCAAUGGGGGCAACCCUGACCGAGCAACGCCGCGUGAGUGAAGAAGGUUUUCGGAUCGUAAAGCUCUGUUGUAAGUCAAGAACGAGUGUGAGAGUGGAAAGUUCACACUGUGACGGUAGCUUACCAGAAAGGGACGGCUAACUACGUGCCAGCAGCCGCGGUAAUACGUAGGUCCCGAGCGUUGUCCGGAUUUAUUGGGCGUAAAGCGAGCGCAGGCGGUUUGAUAAGUCUGAAGUUAAAGGCUGUGGCUCAACCAUAGUUCGCUUUGGAAACUGUCAAACUUGAGUGCAGAAGGGGAGAGUGGAAUUCCAUGUGUAGCGGUGAAAUGCGUAGAUAUAUGGAGGAACACCGGUGGCGAAAGCGGCUCUCUGGUCUGUAACUGACGCUGAGGCUCGAAAGCGUGGGGAGCGAACAGGAUUAGAUACCCUGGUAGUCCACGCCGUAAACGAUGAGUGCUAGGUGUUGGAUCCUUUCCGGGAUUCAGUGCCGCAGCUAACGCAUUAAGCACUCCGCCUGGGGAGUACGACCGCAAGGUUGAAACUCAAAGGAAUUGACGGGGGCCCGCA